ACAGAGGUCCCAAGCGUUGUUCGGAUUCACUGGGCGUAAAGGGUGCGUAGGUGGCCGGUUAAGUCUGACGUGAAAUCUCUGAGCCCAACUCAGAAACUGCGUCGGAAACUAUCCGGCUUGAGGAUUGGAGGGGGGACUGGAAUACUUGGUGUAGCAGUGAAAUGCGUAGAUAUCAAGUGGAACACCAGUGGCGAAGGCGAGUCCCUGGACAAUUCCUGACACUGAGGCACGAAAGCUAGGGGAGCAAACAGG
rnacentral:rRNA from 1 species